CCACGGCUUGUCGGAAGGGAGGGGGGGGGGGGGGUACCGUGCGUUUAGGCAUGCAGCCAUUUAUCAAGCAUGCGCACUUUGUCGUCAACCUCUCUCACAUUAUAGACCGUUUAAUUUCCCAGUCUUUGGUCUUUUUUUGAUAACAUAGACUUAAGUGGGCACUUAUAAUUCCUCUUUAAUUUCUGGAAAAAAAGGCACUUUUAUUCAACGAAAUUAAGAGCACAUUUUCUCGUUGCACAAAAAGUGGAGGGGGAGGGAGGCAACUGCCCCCAAUCCCCUCGGUUCCGUGGCCUCUGCUAAUAUGUUGAUCAACUUGUUUUAUUAUGCGUUAAUAUUUUAUUUUAUUUUGAUGUUGAUAUUCUUUUUC